rnacentral:rRNA from 1 species
CCUACGGGAGGCAGCAGUGAGGAAUAUUGGUCAAUGGGAGAGAUCCUGAACCAGCCAAGCCGCGUGAGGGAAGACGGCCCUAUGGGUUGUAAACCUCUUUUGUCGGAGAACAAAACCCGGGGAGAGACUGGGACCGCGUGUAUGCGAAGAAAAAGGAUCGGCAAACUCCGUGCCCGCCCCGGCGGUACUACGGAGGGUGCGAGCUUUAUCCGGUUUGAUUGGGUUUAAAGGAUGCGUAGGGGGUGUGUUCAUUCAGCGUUAAAUUUGAGGGGCUCAACCCCGUCGAGCCGUUGAAACUGGCAGACUUGAGUUGGCAAGAAGUACGCGGAAUGCGAGGUGUAGCGGUGAAAUGCAUAGAUAUCGCGCAGAACUCCGAUUGCGAAGGCAGCGUACCGGCGCCAGACUGACGCUGAGGCACGAAAGCGUGGGGAUCGAACAGGAUUAGAUACCCGAGUAGUC